rnacentral:rRNA from 1 species
AACGAACGCUGGCGGCAUGCCUAACACAUGCAAGUCGAACGAUGCUUUCGGGCAUAGUGGCGCACGGGUGCGUAACGCGUGGGAAUCUGCCCUUGGGUUCGGAAUAACAGUGAGAAAUUGCUGCUAAUACCGGAUGAUGUCUUCGGACCAAAGAUUUAUCGCCCAGGGAUGAGCCCGCGUAGGAUUAGCUAGUUGGUGGGGUAAUGGCCUACCAAGGCGACGAUCCUUAGCUGGUCUGAGAGGAUGAUCAGCCACACUGGGACUGAGACACGGCCCAGACUCCUACGGGAGGCAGCAGUGGGGAAUAUUGGACAAUGGGCGCUAGCCUGAUCCAGCAAUGCCGCGUGAGUGAUGAAGGCCUUAGGGUUGUAAAGCUCUUUUACCCGGGAUGAUAAUGACAGUACCGGGAGAAUAAGCUCCGGCUAACUCCGUG